GCAUCAAGUCACAUUUUACUUCUUGGUUCUUUCAGUGAAAAGUACGGUGUCACUGGCUAAUACCCUGAGCAAAUCUUUCAAUGUCUCCUAUUCAGAAUUAUCCGAUCACUUGGCCCAAUAUCAGGAUGGCUGGGCUUUUUUGAGCAGCACAUCGAGAAUGUACUUGACGAAAAGGAAUAUUAACACUGACCCACAAGGAAGAAAUCUUACAAGUUGUGUUUCUGCUCAAACGAUACAUGUGGAUGAGUGUACACAUGAGAUAGAGCAGAACUAUACCUACUACAACUCGUCUUCUAGCACAUGGCAUGUAAUGGCCUCUUCAAGAGGACAAGAAAUACCCAAGUUUGGCAUCAAUUUUUUAGCAAAGAAAAAAUUUUAUUAUUUGUGCAAUUUUCUAUAUCUGCUCUAAAUCAUGUCACGCUGAAGACAUUUAUUGCCUUACAACAACAAACAGUAAAAUAGGACUAGA
rnacentral:lncRNA from 1 species